AGUGAACGCUGGCGGUAGGCCUAACACAUGCAAGUCGAACGGCAGCACAGUAAGAGCUUGCUCUUACGGGUGGCGAGUGGCGGACGGGUGAGGAAUACAUCGGAAUCUACUUUUUCGUGGGGGAUAACGUAGGGAAACUUACGCUAAUACCGCAUACGACCUACGGGUGAAAGCAGGGGAUCUUCGGACCUUGCGCGAUUGAAUGAGCCGAUGUCGGAUUAGCUAGUUGGCGGGGUAAAGGCCCACCAAGGCGACGAUCCGUAGCUGGUCUGAGAGGAUGAUCAGCCACACUGGAACUGAGACACGGUCCAGACUCCUACGGGAGGCAGCAGUGGGGAAUAUUGGACAAAGGGCGCAAGCCUGAUCCAGCCAUACCGCGUGGGUGAAGAAGGCCAUCGGGUUGUAAAGCCCUUUUGUUGGGAAAGAAAAGCAGCAGGUUAAUACCCCGCUGUUCUGACGGUACCCAAAGAAUAAGCACCGGCUAACUUCGUG
rnacentral:rRNA from 1 species